ACGGUGCCCCACAUCCCCCUAGAGGAGCCUGUCCUUUAAAUCGAUGAUCCCCGCUUAACCUCACCAUUUUUAGCUACCAGUCUGUAUACCUCCGUCGUCAGCUUACCGCAUGAGCGAUAUAAAGUAAGCUCAAUGUCCCUAAACCCUCAUCAAAACGUCAGGUCAAGGUGCAACUUAUAAAAUGGGAAGAGAUGGGCUACACUCUCUAACAUAGAACAAACGAAAAACUAACUGAAAACUAGUUUGAAGGCGGAUUUAGAAGUAAAAAGAGACCAGAAAACUCUUUUUAACUCGGCACUGGGGUGUGUACACACCGCCCGUCACCCUCUUCGUCAAUAUUAAAUAUAGUAUUUAACACAUUAAAACACAGUAGAAGAGGUAAGUCGUAACAUGGUAAGCAUACCGGAAGGUGUGCUUGGAAA
rnacentral:rRNA from 1 species